UUUUCCCUUUUAGUUAUGUUAACUUGUAAUAUUUAGCCAAGUAGACUUAAAUUUAACUCUGUUGUUCAGAUAACUUAUAUAUUUGGGUUUUAGUGGUGAAAACCAAUGACACAAUUGGUACAACUUAUUUUUUCUUGUCAUAUCCACUAGUUAUCAUAGUUCACCUCCGUUUCACGCUGCGUCACGUAAAUGGCGCAUGCGCAGACACCUAACCGCACCUCGAAGUAAUUUUUCGUGAGGGUAAACCAGAGCCCAUGGUGGUGACUUCAACCGUCACUUUUCUGUCAUGCAUCUGACUGCAAGCUGUACAAACUCUGCCGUCAUCAUAUCCAAGGCAGUAAGUUGUGAGGACUGCUUCCCUGAGAACACUGAGUGCAUUCUGGAAUAUUCCAAAUGUGUCCCACUUCCAUACAAAAGAAGUUCGAAUCCUGCAAGAGAGUUCACUCAACAGGUAGAGACAGACAGACACACACACACAGUCCCCUUUUUUCAUGUGUCUGUUUGUUGUUAUGACUGUAGUGGGCUUCAUCAACAGACCAGGGCAAAGUCGGUCUGUCCCGCUACUACAACAUGCUACUUGACUAUGUCUGGAAGCCAUGGCUGCUGCCCUCAACAUGCUAAACUGAAACCCUCACAAAUAAAGUCACAAAUCAAGAAUUAACAUUGAUGGUGAUGGUGGCAAGGGUGCCUUCAUAAGGUGCCAUCCAGCAAGUCCCAGCCUGGAGCCAGAGGCUGGCACUGCACGUCAGAUGGGGGAGGAUCUAUGUUAGGCAUCAGAAAGGUGGUUUAAGCAAGAAGGCAAGAGCUUCUGCAGACAGUGUUGCAAUUAGACACCUGACUUUUACUGAGUCCCUUUUCUGGUUUGUUUUGGACAAACUAGAGUGGUGGGCACAGAAAUUUUGUCGAUGGGUCAAACAUUCACACACUCACUCACACAACCACACUUGUGGAUUUGUCAAGCAACAAAUCUUUGUAUAUAAUCUGUUGCUCAUUGAAUAUGCUUAAUAAAUGUUGUCUUCUUGACUUGUA